AGGACGAACGCUGGCGGCGCGCUUAACACAUGCAAGUCGAACGUGAAGCCCGGGCUUGCCUGGGUGGAAAGUGGCGAACGGGUGCGUAACACGUGAGCAACCUGCCCCGAAGACCGGGAUAACGCCGGGAAACCGGUGCUAAUACCGGAUGCCCUCAUCACACGGCAUCGUGAGAUGAGGAAAUGGAUUCCGCUUCGGGAUGGGCUCGCGGUCUAUCAGCUUGUUGGUGGGGUAACGGCUCACCAAGGCUACGACGGAUAGCUGGUCUGAGAGGAUGUCCAGCCACACUGGGACUGAGACACGGCCCAGACUCCUACGGGAGGCAGCAGUGGGGAAUCUUGCACAAUGGGCGAAAGCCUGAUGCAGCGACGCCGCGUGCGGGAUGACGGCCUUCGGGUUGUAAACCGCUUUCAGCAGGGACGAUAAUGACGGUACCUGCAGAAGAAGCCCGGCCAACUACGUGCCAGCAGCCGC
rnacentral:rRNA from 1 species